UGACCUUGACCCAAACCAAGCGUAACCUAGCUAAUCUUGACCCAAACCAAGUCUAACCUAGCUAAUCUUGACCCAAACCAACUUUAACCUAGCUAAUCUUGACCUACCCAAGUGUAACCUAGCUAAUCUUGACCCUACCAAACCUAACCUAGCUAAUCUUGACCCUAAACCAAGCAUAACCUAGCUUAACUUGACCCUAUGUAAGAUUAGAAUGGUCUAGGUCUAGUGUAACCAAAUUUAACCAGGCCUAACCUAGCUGAACUUGACCCUACCCAAGGUUAGAAAAGCCAAGGUCUAGUGUAACCAAACUUAACCAAGCCUAACCUAGAUGAACUUGACCCUACCCAAGGUUAGAAAAGCCUAGGUCUAGUGUAACCAAACUUAACCAAGCCUAACCUAGCCUAAUUGAAUAAAAACAAUGUCUGCUUAAACCAAACUUAACCAAACUUGAUCUUACUAAACCAAAAACAUAAAAUUCAACCCAUCAAAACCAAUAGUGUUUUUGAAUCAGCUUAAGAUUAACCCAACUUACUCUAACAUCUUCUAACUUAAUCCAGCCUAACUUGACCCAAUUGGAAAUAAAAUACGUAAAGCGAAAUCCAGUAUAAUCAACUUUAACCCCUUCACUACGGCCGGGCCAACACAGUGCCCCGCGCCGUAUCCAAGAUCGCCAUGCGCGCCAAAUUUCAAAUGUCGCUAUUGAAUAUAACAAGUUUUCAGCCAUAAACUCAACACAAUCAUCAUGUAUUAUAUAUGAAAACAUGCAGAAUUAAAUGGUGCACAUAAAGAAACAUAGAUUAACUGGUAAUUUUGAGAUGUAAUUAUAAAUAUAGAGAUUAAAUAACUUGUAUAUUGGCUAAAGCGAGCCUGAACGCAGUGUGCAUGCCCUCGGAUAUGGUACGGGGCACGCAAGGACACAGUAUAUGCAUCCUCGUGUUGAAGGGGUUAAAGUAAUCUUGUAAGCUAACUUAAUCUACCCAGAGUAUGGCCCCAAUGAGUGCCGAGAGAAAGUGCCGUUAAAAUUCAGAGCAAUGCAAGGGGUGAAUUAGUGUGUGUGGCCGAGAUGGAAUUUUUAUAAGUGCGUUUUUCUCUCUCUUUUUUUCAGUUCAAGGGCGUAAAAAAAUAAAUAAAUAAAUAAAAUAAAAUAAAAAAUAAAAAAAGCCCGCUACUCUCUGCUCCUGAAUAGAGGUCAAAGGAGUGUCCAAAAAGAGAGGUCAAUUUCGGGAGGGUUGUGACAUCUAUAGCGAAUCUCCUUAUGAUAUAUUUUGCAUUUUUUGAUCAUUUUUCGACAUUUUGCUUAACUUCAUUUAUUUAUUUUUUUCCUUAAUGAACUUGUGAAUUACUGUGUCGUGGCCUAGACAGAAUGUAGAGCGAUGUUUCAAGGUGGUUGCGACAUCUAUAGCGAAUCUCCUUAUGAUAUAUUUUGCAUUUUUUGAUGAUUUUUCGACAUUUUGCUUAACUUCAUUUAUUUAUUUUUUUCCUUAAUAAACUUGUGAAUUACUGUGUUGUGGCCUAGACAGAUUUCAAUGCAUUGUUUCAAGGUAGUUACGACAUCUAUAGCGAAUUUCCUUAUGAUAUAUUUUGCAUUUAUAAUAAUUUUUCAAGAUUUUGUUUACAUUUAUUUUUUUCCUUAAUGAACUUGUGAAUUAUUGUGUUGUGGACUCGGCAGAUUUUAGUGCAUUGUUUCAAGGUGGUUGCGACAUCUAUAGCGAAUCUCCUUAUGAUAUAUUUUGCAUUUAUAAUAAUUUUUCAAGAUUUUGUUUACAUUUAUUUUUUUCCUUAAUGAACUUGUGAAUUAUUGUGUUGUGGACUCGGCAGAUUUUAGUGCAUUGUUUCAAGGUGGUUGCGACAUCUAUAGCGAAUUUCCUUAUGAUAUAUUUUGCAUUUUUUGAUCAUUUUUCGAUAUUUUACUUACUUCAUUUAUUUAUUUUUUUCCUUAAUGAACUUGUGAAUUACUGUGUUGUGGACUAGACAGAUUUUAGUGCAUUGUUUCAAGGUGGUCACGACAUCUAUAGCGAAUUUCCUUAUCAUAUAUUUUGCAUUUUUUGAUCAUUUUUCGAUAUUUUACUGAACUUCAUUUAUUUAUUUUUUUCCUCAAUGAACUUGUGAAUUAUUGUGUUGUGGCCUAGACAGAUUUCAAUGCAUUGUUUCAAGGUAGUUACGACAUCUAUAGUGAAUCUCCUUACGAUAUAUUUUGCAUUUAUAAUAAUUUUUCAAGAUUUUAUUUACAUUUAUUUUUUUCGUUAAUGAACUUGUGAAUUAUUGUGUUGUGGCCUAGACAGAUUUCAAUGCAUUGUUUCAAGGUAGUUACGACAUCUAUAGCGAAUCUCCUAAUGAUAUAUUUUGCAUUUAUAAUAAUUUUUCAAGAUUUUGUUUACAUUUAUUUUUUUCCUUAAUGAACUUGUGAAUUACUGUGUUGUGGACUCGGCAGAUUUUAGUGCAUUGUUUCAAGGUGGUUACGACAUCUAUAGUGAAUUUCCUUAUGAUAUAUUUAGCAUUUUUUUAUCACUUUUCGAUAUUUUACUUAACUUCAUUUAUUAUUUUUUUUCCUCAAUGAACUUGUGAAUUACUGUGUUGUGGCCUCGGCAGAUUUUAGUGCAUCUAUACAUCUAUAGCGAGUCUCCUAAUGAUAUAUUUAGCAUUUUUUGAUCAUUUUUCAAUAUUUUACUUACUUCAUAUUUUUUCUUUAACGUAAAUGAUGCCGUUUUUUAAGUUGUUUCCUUCCGUUAACAUUUUUUUCCACUAUAAAUGUCCGAGCAUUUCUGUAACUCAUUCAAAAACUUAAUGUUCAUCCAAUUUCUUUCCCUGCAACAUAUAAUCCUUCAGUUUUAUUAUGAAGAAAAAGGUUAGGGUGAUGACACUUAACCAAGGGUGUGAGGGUGUGACCAGGGAUGUGGCAGAGGUGAUUAGGGUGACACUAGGCUAUAUUAGGGUGACAAAACACACACUAAAGCCAGAGGGGUCAUGAAAAUAAGGUCAGGUUAGGUCAGGGAUGUGAGGGUGUGACCAGGGAUGUGGCAGAGGUGAUUAGGGUGACACUAGGCUAUAUUAGGGUGACGAAACACACACUAAAGCCAGAGGGGUCAUGAAAAUAAGGUCAGGUUAGGUCAGGGAUGUGAGGGUGUGACCAGGGAUGUGGCAGAGGUGAUUAGGGUGACACUAGGCUAUAUUAGGGUGACAAAACACACACUAAAGCCAGAGGGGUCAUGAAAAUAAGGUCAGGUUAGGUCAGGGAUGUGAGGGUGUGACCAGGGAUGUGGCAGAGGUGAUUAGGGUGACACUAGGCUAUAUUAGGGUGACGAAACACACACUAAAGCCAGAGGGGUCAUGAAAAUAAGGUCAGGUUAGGUCAGGGAUGUGACCUCUGGGAUGUGGCAGAUAGCAAGGGUGAUAGGGGUGACAUAUUAGGGUGACAAAACACACACUAAAGCCAUAAGGGUGAUGAAAAUUUGGUUUGAUUUGGCUAGGUUAGGUUAGGGUGACAGGAAUGUGAGGGUGUGGCUAUAGGGAUGUGGCAGAAGUGAUUAGGGUGACACUAGACUAGAUUAGGGUGAAAAAACAGACACUAAAACCAUAAGGGUGGCAAAAAUUAGGUUACGUUAGGGUGACACUAACCCAGGGAUGUGAGGGUGUGACCAGGGUGACACUAGGUUAUAUUAGGGUGACAAACACACUACAGGCAAGGGUAAGGUCAGGUCAGGUUAGGGUGAGACUAGGCCAGGGAUGUGGUCAUUGAGGGUGUGACUUCAGGGAUGUGGCAGAGGUGAUUAGGGUGACACUAGGCUAUAUUAGGGUGACAAAACACACUACAGGCAAGGGUGAGGUCAGGUUAAGUAAGGUAAGCUAGGGAUGUGGUCAUUGAGGGUGUGACUUCAGGGAUGUGGCAGAGGUGAUUAGGGUGACACUAGGUUACAUUAGGGUGACAAACACACUAUAGACAAGGGUGAGGCUAGGUCAGAUUAGGUUGGGGAGUGUAUUAGGUCAGGGAUGUGGUCAUUUAGGGUGUGACUUCAGGGAUGUGGCAGAGGUGAUUAGGGUGACACUAGGCUAUAUUAGGGUGACAAAACACACUACAGGCAAAGGUGAGGUCAGGUUAAGUUAGGUAAGCUAGGGAUGUGGUCAGUGAGGGUGUGACUUCAGGGAUGUGGCAGAGGUGAUUAGGGUGACACUAGGCUAUAUUAGGGUGACACAACACACUAUAGGCAAGGGUGAGGUCAGGUUAAGUUAGGUAAGCUAGGGAUGUGGUCAGUGAGGGUGUGACUUCAGGGAUGUGACAGAGGUGAUUAGGGUGACACUAGGCUAUAUUAGGGUGAUAAAACACACCAUACACAACGGUGGUCAGGUCAGGUUAGGGUGACACUUGGCCAGGGAUGUGGUCAUUAAGGGUGUGACUGCAGGGAUGUGACAAGUGAGUAGGGUGACACUAGUCUAUAUUAGGGUGACAAAACACACUAUAGACAAGGGUAAGGUCAGGUUAGGUCAGGUCAACACAUAACAAAGGCUAGGUUAGGUUAGGUCAGGACAAAACUAAACAGGGGAUGUGGUCAUUGAGGGUGUGCUGGAAGGAUAUGGAUAUUGUAGAGGUCACACUAGGUUAAAUUAGGGUGACAAAACACUGUAGGCAAGGGUGAGGUCAGAUCACAGCAAACACUUACAUAGGAGAGGCUAGGUCAGGCUGAAACUAAACUAGGGAUGCGGUCAUUGAGGAUGUGGCUGUUGAAGAGGUCACACUAGGUUAAAUUAGGGUGACCAACACUAUAGGCAAGGUCAGGUUAGGUUAGGGUGACACAAAAAGCUAAGUUAGGUUAGGCUAGGUCAGGACGAAACUAAACUAGGGAUGCGGUCAUUGAGGAUGUGGCUGUUGAAGAGGUCACACUAGGUUAAAUUAGGGUGACAAAACACACUAUAGGCAAGGUCAGGUUAGGUUAGGGUGACACAAAAGGCUAGGUUAGGUUAGGCUAGGUCAGGACGAAACUAAACUAGGGAUGCGGUCAGCUGGAAGGGUGUGGCUGUUAUAGGGUGACAUAAGCUACAUUAGGGUGACAAAACACACAAUAGGCAAGGUCAGGUGAGGUGAGGUCAGGUUAGGUUAGGUUGACAUAAGCUUGGGAUGUGGUCAGUAGGGAUGUGCUGGAAGGAUGUGACUGUUGUAGAGGUCACACUAGGUUAAAUUAGGGUAACAAAACACACUAAAGGCAAGGUCAGGUUAGGUCAGGUCAAGGCAAGGUUAGGUAGGUCAGGUUAGGUUAGAUUAGGUUAGGUUGACAUAAGCUUGGGAUGUGGUCAGUGGGGCUGUGCUGGAAGGAUGUGGCUGUUGUAGGGGUGUGGCGGGAAGGGGGCGACUCUCAGCAGCUCUCCAUCAUCAGACAGUCAAGGGCGGAAUGGAAGAAUUUUGCCGAUAUCCCGAUUUUGGGGUAAUUUUUUUUUCAAGUCAAAUUUUGCGUCAUUUCCAAUUUUCUUUGAUUUUUUUUUUCGUGGGGUCAAGGGAGGAAUUUCACAGUGCCUACAAAAAAAAAAAAGGAAUGCCAAUGGGUGAUGUGGGUGUCAUGGGUGCCAAUCGCCGAGCCUCGAAUCAGGGAAUUACGUUUUGAUUUCUUACGUAAUUUAGAUUGAGCUGCAUUGCCGUGUCUGACCCCCCGAAUCAAGAAGUUACGAGGCGAUAUCUUACGAAUAUUAGACUGAGCUGCGUGCCGAUUCUACUGCCCUGAAUCAAGAAGCUGCAAGGCGAAAUCUUACGAAUAUUAGAUUGAGCUGCGUUGCCGUGCCUAAUGCUUCGAAUCAGGAAAUUACGCCUUGAUUCCUUACGUAAUUUAGACCGAGCUGCAUUGCCGUGUCUGACCCCCCGAAUCAGGGAGUUACGGGGCGAUAUCUUACGAAUAUUAGAUCGAGCUGCGUUGCCGUGUCUGCCGCCUCGAAUCAGGGAGUUGCAUCUCAAUUUCUUACGUAAUUUAGAUCAAGCUGAGUUCCCGUGUCUACUGAAUCAAGAGUGAGGUUUUCCGCUCGUAAGAUCUCAGUCUCAGGGGUCCAAUACGUGCCUAAAAACCUGGAAACAUUAACAGCUCUUGCGUUUCCUUCUUACGAUUUGAGUUUUGUCACGUAAGGAGGAAUUCUGCACCUUCGUUACGACGUGGUGGAAUUUUUACGCAUGCUGCCCCGCCUUGAAUAAUUUGUCAAGUUUACGAGGCUUAACAUUACGAACAACAAAGUCUCUGUUAAUAAUUGUACGAAUAUAUCUUUUUUUCAUACAUUUCGCGCUGCCUUGAAAAAAUUUGGUCCUUACGAAGCUUAACAUCAUGAAUUGAAUAGAGAAAUACACAUACAAAGCCUCAGUUAAUACGUCUACGAGUGUGAUAUAUUUUCCGCACUUUGCGUCGCCUGAAAAAAUUUGGGUCACGGCCUUCAUAACAGCCUAGUGAUAUGACUUUACGUAAACAGAAACUCCGCUACGACAGGAACAAUUCUCGGCCGACUUUAAGCGUACUGUACGAGUGAUAUUUUUAACACAUUUUGCAUUGCCUGAAAGAAAUUUACGUCAACCUUAGAGAGCUCCGUAACAGCCUCAUAAUAUUAAGACUUUGGCCAGAAAUUACGUUAUACAAGUUUUACGUCUUGAAAAUACUCAUAACAGAUUGGCUUUCUCCGCCACCUCCCGCCCGCCCCUAGGCCGCCGCAGCCGCCAAAUUUUACGCCUAGACAAUACGUAAUGGCUUAUCCCUAUCACUCCCCGCCCGCCUGCCACCCCUCAGCCGCCGCAGCCACCAAAUUUUACGCCUUGAAACUACUUAACGGCUUAGCUUCCUGUCACUGCCCACCCCCCGCCACCCCUCAGCCGCCGCAGCCGCCCUAGUCCAU